rnacentral:lncRNA from 1 species
GGAGUCCUGACCCGCAAACAGUCCUGUCCUUCUCUUAUCACCGCUGAAGCUCCAGGACUCAGCCAUUAUGAAAUCCAGCCAAGCUUCUGGCCCAGCAUCUGAGGACAGCUCUCAGGCUGCUGAAACCCACUUUGCCUGUGUGCACGGAGAGCUGGAAAUGCCUGGGAUGUGCCUCUUCCUGGGGCUACCUGUGACCAAUGACUGAUCAAUCCCCAGCUUCCCCCACCCCCAGACACUCUGAGGUGUCACCUGCCCUAUCUCCAGAGCUCACCUGGGGGAAACAGCCAAAGUUACCCUCCAGGCAGGAUGUCACACUCCUGCUUCUUGGUCCUACUUACCCACUUGCCUACCCGUUUUUC